rnacentral:lncRNA from 12 species
CUUUUCAUUCCCCCAUUUCUCUUUUAAUUCCCAUUUCUCCCCUUCCUCUGUCCCUCCCCUCAGGACCCGCCGCCAUCUUGGCCAUCAUUGAUGACAUCACAACCGUCGCGUUGCCGUGACGCCACUUCCGUUUCCGGAGCGCCUGUGGCCGAGCGAGGAAAUACCGGAGGAAGCCAUGAUCGAGGUCGUCUGCAACGACCGCCUGGGCAAGAAGGUGCGGGUCAAAUGCAAGUAUCCCAAAGGUGGGGGCUCGGGGGGGCUGGGCAGUUCUGGGGGCUCCUGGGUGAGGAUUUUGGGGCUUCCAGGGGGGGGGGGGGGGGGGGGGGGGGGGGGGGGGGGGGGGGGGGGGGGGGGGGGGGGGGGGGGGGGGGGGGGGGGG